rnacentral:rRNA from 1 species
GUGGGGAAUUUUGGACAAUGGGCGAAAGCCUGAUCCAGCAAUGCCGCGUGCAGGAUGAAGGCCCUCGGGUUGUAAACUGCUUUUGUACGGAACGAAAAGCCUGGGGCUAAUAUCCCCGGGUCAUGACGGUACCGUAAGAAUAAGCACCGGCUAACUACGUGCCAGCAGCCGCGGUAAUACGUAGGGUGCAAGCGUUAAUCGGAAUUACUGGGCGUAAAGCGUGCGCAGGCGGUUUUGUAAGACAGUGGUGAAAUCCCCGGGCUCAACCUGGGAACUGCCAUUGUGACUGCAAGGAUAGAGUGCGGCAGAGGGGGAUGGAAUUCCGCGUGUAGCAGUGAAAUGCGUAGAUAUGCGGAGGAACACCGAUGGCGAAGGCAAUCCCCUGGGCCUGCACUGACGCUCAUGCACGAAAGCGUGGGGAGCAAACAGGAUUAGAAACCCCGGUAGUCC